UACAGAGGUCUCAAGCGUUGUUCGGAUUCAUUGGGCGUAAAGGGUGUGUAGGUGGCGCCGUAAGUCGGGUGUGAAAUUUCGGAGCUUAACUCCGAAACUGCAUUCGAUACUGCGGUGCUUGAGGACUGGAGUGGAGAGUGGAAUUCCUGGUGUAGCGGUGAAAUGCGCAGAUAUCAGGAAGAACACCCGUGGCGAAGGCGGCUCUCUGGGACGGUACUGACGCUGAGACGCGAAAGCGUGGGGAGCGAACAGG
rnacentral:rRNA from 1 species